rnacentral:rRNA from 1 species
UGCGUCAACUGUAGUCGUGACUUCUAAUUUGCUGGUUUGAGGUUGGGUCCGCCCUUCAACUGCCAGCAGGUUUACCUUGAAUAAAUCAGAGUGCUCAAAACAAGUGUUUGCUUGAAUAGCUCAUCAUGGAAUAAUGAAACAGGACUUCGGUUCUUUUUGUUGGUUCUAGAACUGAUUUAAUGGUUAAGAGGGACAAACCGGGGGCAUUCGUAUCAUUACGCGAGAGGUGAAAUUCGUGGACCGUAGUGAGACGCCCAACAGCGAAAGCAUUUGCCAAGAAUGUCUUCAUUAAUCAAGAACGAAAGUCAGAGGUUCGAAGGCGAUUAGAUACCGCCCUAGUUCUGACCGUAAACGAUGCCAUCUCGCGAUUCGGAGGGUUUUUGCCCUGCCGAGGAGCUAUCCGGAAACGAAAGUCUUUCGGUUCCGGGGGUAGUAUGGUUGCAAAGCUGAAACUUAAAGAAAUUGACGGAAGGGCACCACAAGGCGUGGAGCUUGCGGCUUAAUUUGACUCAACACGGGAAAACUCACCCGGUCCGGACACCAUUAGGACUGACAGAUUGAAAGCUCUUUCUCGAUUUGGUGGUUGGUGGUGCAUGGCCGUUCUUAGUUGGUGGAGUGAUUUGUCUGGUUUAUUCCGAUAACGAGCGAGACUCUAGCCUGCUAAAUAGUUGGCGAAUCUUCGGGUUCGUAUAACUUCUUAGAGGGAUAAGCGG